rnacentral:rRNA from 1 species
GCUUGUCUCAAAGAUUAAGCCAUGCAUGUCUAAGUAUAAAUGUUAUACAGUGAAACUGCGAAUGGCUCAUUAAAACAGUUAUAGUUUAUUUGAUAAUCGAAUUUACAUGGAUAACCGUGGUAAUUCUAGAGCUAAUACAUGCUGGUUAGCCUGACUUUUAGGAAGGGCUGUAUUUAUUAGAUAACAAACCAAUAUUCCUCGUGUCUAUUGUGAUGACUCAUAAUAACUGAUCGGAUCGCAUGGGCUACGCCCGCGACAAACCAUUCAAGUUUCUGCCCCAUCAGCUUUCGAUGGUAGUGUAUUGGACUACCAUGGCUUUUACGGGUAACGGAGGAUUAGGGUUCGAUUCCGGAGAGGGAGCCUGAGAAACGGCUACCACAUCCAAGGAAGGCAGCAGG